UACGAAGGGGGCUAGCGUUGUUCGGAAUCACUGGGCGUAAAGCGCACGUAGGCGGACUUUCAAGUCAGGGGUGAAAUCCCGGGGCUCAACCUCGGAAUUGCCUUUGAUACUGUAGGUCUCGAGUCCGGAAGAGGUGGGUGGAAUUGCCGGUGUAGUGGUGAAAUGCGUAGAGAUCGGCAGGAACACCCAGGGAGAAAUCAGCCGCCUGGGCAAGUGCUGACGCUGAGGUGCGAAAGCGUGGGGAGCGAACCGG
rnacentral:rRNA from 1 species